UGUGUGUGUGUGUGUGUGUGUGUGUGUGUGUGUAACCCCUGGGUGACUCACAUAUACAAGGAGGUGACAGGAAAGACCAAGGUCAACCAUGGUCUGGGACCUCUGAGUCGGCCAUUUUGCUUUUGGAAGACAUAAAUCAGAUGAAACGGACAGUUCCUCUCCUCUUCAAAGGCUUUUGUUUUACAGAGGUUAUCAGGAGGGCUGAAGCAAUUGCCUGUAUAAUGGACCCCCUUAGCCAGUCUGAUAAGUAUAACAGUAAGGAACACACAGUCCUGCGACAGUCUGGUAGUCAGCUAGAAGACAAGGAAUAAACUGAUGUUUUCUCAGGUGCUGAGUUGUAUCACCUCAAUGUGACAGCGACAGCCAUUUUGACGCGGUGUUGUCUGCCAACGUCAACCAUUUAGCCAUUGUUUGUGUUCCUGUCUGAAGAGGUUUAUACUAGUGACCACUUCUGGGUGAGUUACUGUAGGCCAAUUCCACGGAAACAGAAUUGCACUGAUUUUGCACUUCAAAGUGUAUGCCAUACAAAAACUCUAUGCACAAUGACUACUUUUACACUGAAGAUUUUACUAAAACACAUUUACCGGAAGAACUGGGCAGAUGCUAAGUUUGGUAACAGAAUCUCAGUUUUUUAUGUGACCACGUUUUCAAAAAAAUCUACACUUAAAUAUCUGCUCCGAAUUAAGAUUGAAAGAUGUCUGCAGAAAGAAUGGGAUGUCAGCUACGACCUACUUUCAAGCGUUGGUCGCUGCUCAGUGGGUAAAGAUGCUGAUUACAGUAAAUGGAAAGAGAGGGGGCUCAUUGGUAGGUUUCAGUGAGAGCCGGAAGAGGUGACAUUAACUAGAGAGAGAGAGAAGAGAGAGAGAGCGGCAGAGAGAGGGAGAGUGAAAGGGAGGGGUUGUCCAGGCUGUUUUCACAGUCUUUCUUUGACACCAGACGACAGAAAGAGAAAGAAAAGUUAUGAGCUGAACAUAACAGUAUACCAGUGGAAGGGAGGACAGUAGCAGGUAACCCUAUGAGCUGAACAUAACAGUAUGCCAGUGGAAGGGAGGACAGUAGCAGGUAACCCUAUGAGCUGAACAUAACAGUAUACCAGUGGAAGGGAGGACAGUAGCAGGUAACCCUAUGAGCUGAACAUAACAGUAUGCCAGUGGAAGGGAGGACAGUAGCGGGUAACCCUAUGAGCUGAACAUAACAGUAUGCCAGUGGAAGGGAGGACAGUAGCAGGUAACCCUAUGAGCUGAACAUAACAGUAUGCCAGUGGAAGGGAGGACAGUAGCAGGUAACCCAACAGUGGUUUGUGACUAUUAUGAUUUCCCACUGUAGCAAAUUGAAUUGCAGUAAUUCCGUUACUGAUUUUAAACAAAUUCUGUUACCAAUUUGGUAACAGAAUUUAGAGUUUUAAACACUUAAUAAUUCAUAAACCAAAUAGAUAUCAGUAAAAACACUAUGACUUAUUGGUAGGUCUAUCUUAUUAGACACUAUGACUUAUUGGUAGGUCUACCUUAUUAGACACUAUGAC
rnacentral:lncRNA from 1 species